rnacentral:tRNA from 1 species
GGUGAUGUAGCUCAGUGGUAGAGUGCUUGCCAAGCAUGCAUGAGGCCCGGGGUUCCAUCCCUAGCAUCACAC